rnacentral:lncRNA from 1 species
GGGGGCCGAGGCGGGGAAACCGCGGGGGGGAGGAGACCCGAGGCGCAGCGAGUGGCGCCGGAGGGGAGGGGCUGGCGGCCUCCCGCUGCCCACCUGGGCUCGCGCCCCUCUGCGGCGCCCGCUCUUCAGCUGCCUGGGACCCAGAUUACCCGUGUUAGCUCCCACCCCCUCCAUUUCGAAACAGCCUCGCGCGGGGGGGUGGGGGGCCGUGUGUGUGCCAUUAUUGCUCCCUGAAAUUUGCAGACCCGAGAGGAAAGCGAUUCGCAGCGUCGCUCGUAUUUGAAUCGAAACCCAGAGCAAUUUGGGAAGAAACUCGGGGCACAUUUGCAAAAGGACAGCUAGCUUGAAAAGCCGAGGCCAGAGCAGGCUGCUCACCAAGGCCGCUCCGCGCCCACCCCACCCCUGCUCGCCGCCUCUCGUAAAUCACUAGGGGCACAGUCCUUGCAUUGGUGACUUUUGAACAAGCCCCUCCUCGGCAACCAAAGUUCGUUCCGAGUAUGAGGGGGGAAAGAGGGGUGGGGGAGGGACAUUUGGAACGCAGGAGAAAUGCAGUCCGAUCGGAAUCGCCAGACAAGCACCAAAAAAAGCGUGUGGAUUCCCCUUCUGCAAGGUCUCGCUGCGCCCACAUCUCGGAAGAAACGAAGAGGAAAACAGAAGAGCCCUCGCAGUUAAAACCCAGCCAUUUCCAGACUCACCCAGCAAUUCCAAAGCCUUUUGAUCAAACCAGUCACAGUGUGAUGUCAUCUCCACGGAGGCUCUGCCCCAUACAAGUUUCAGGUUCCACUGGAGCUGCCAGCACAGAGGAAGGAAUUCAGUAAUGGAACUCACCCACAACUAACCAUUCAUGUAGAGAAAACUGCUCCUUUACAAGAAUGAAGAAUGAGAUUUUGUGCAGUACGAGAACAGGUCUGACUUCAGAGAUUCAUGGUAAGAUCUGUAGCAGUUCAUUCUAUAAAUAUGUUGCAUUCAUACCUAUUCAAUUCCAUAAAGACAAAAGG